rnacentral:rRNA from 1 species
GACGAACGCUUGCGGCGUGCUUAACACAUGCAAGUCGAACGGAAAGGCCCUGCUUUUGUGGGGUGCUCGAGUGGCGAACGGGUGAGUAACACGUGAGUAACCUGCCCUUGACUUUGGGAUAACUUCAGGAAACUGGGGCUAAUACCGGAUAGGAGCUCCUGCUGCAUGGUGGGGGUUGGAAAGUUUCGGCGGUUGGGGAUGGACUCGCGGCUUAUCAGCUUGUUGGUGGGGUAGUGGCUUACCAAGGCUUUGACGGGUAGCCGGCCUGAGAGGGUGACCGGCCACAUUGGGACUGAGAUACGGCCCAGACUCCUACGGGAGGCAGCAGUGGGGAAUAUUGCACAAUGGGCGGAAGCCUGAUGCAGCAACGCCGCGUGCGGGAUGACGGCCUUCGGGUUGUAAACCGCUUUCGCCUGUGACGAAGCGUGAGUGACGGUAAUGGGUAAAGAAGCACCGGCUAACUACGUGCCAGCAGCCGCGGUGAUACGUAGGGUGCGAGCGUUGUCCGGAUUUAUUGGGCGUAAAGGGCUCGUAGGUGGUUGAUCGCGUCGGAAGUGUAAUCUUGGGGCUUAACCCUGAGCGUGCUUUCGAUACGGGUUGACUUGAGGAAGGUAGGGGAGAAUGGAAUUCCUGGUGGAGCGGUGGAAUGCGCAGAUAUCAGGAGGAACACCAGUGGCGAAGGCGGUUCUCUGGGCCUUUCCUGACGCUGAGGAGCGAAAGCGUGGGGAGCGAACAGGCUUAGAUACCCUGGUAGUCCACGCUGUAAACGGUGGGUACUAGGUGUGGGGUCCAUUCCACGGGUUCCGUGCCGUAGCUAACGCUUUAAGUACCCCGCCUGGGGAGUACGGCCGCAAGGCUAAAACUCAAAGGAAUUGACGGGGCCCCGCACAAGCGGCGGAGCAUGCGGAUUAAUUCGAUGCAACGCGUAGAACCUUACCUGGGUUUGACAUGGAUCGGGAGUGCUCAGAGAUGGGUGUGCCUCUUUUGGGGUCGGUUCACAGGUGGUGCAUGGCUGUCGUCAGCUCGUGUCGUGAGAUGUUGGGUUAAGUCCCGCAACGAGCGCAACCCUUGUUCACUGUUGCCAGCACGUUAUGGUGGGGACUCAGUGGAGACCGCCGGGGUCAACUCGGAGGAAGGUGGGGAUGACGUCAAGUCAUCAUGCCCCUUAUGUCCAGGGCUUCACGCAUGCUACAAUGGCUGGUACAGAGAGUGGCGAGCCUGUGAGGGUGAGCGAAUCUCGGAAAGCCGGUCUCAGUUCGGAUUGGGGUCUGCAACUCGACCUCGUGAAGUCGGAGUCGCUAGUAAUCGCAGAUCAGCAACGCUGCGGUGAAUACGUUCCCGGG